ACUGACCGCUGUUCCCCACACACACACACACACACACACACACACACACACACACACACGCUGUGCAGACCCACAGGUUUAAGCCAUACCUCUUUCAGAGUAGAAGUGCUUCCUCCUCUCCAAAUGUCUCCACUGUGUCCUGUGGGUGAGACACACGCUUUAAACUACACUUCCCAUCAUGCCUGCUGAACCACAGGAAGACGCUGCUGGAUGUGAGCGCGCCUUCUUCACCCCACCUUGUCUUCCUGCCAACGCCAAACGUCAAAGGAAACACACACACACACUCACACACACACACUCACACACACACUUUACUUGUUUGAGCUGUUUCUUUCUUAUUCUAUUUUUAUAUUUAUGUGCCACUGCGGGCGGAUAAUUAGUGCUCUUCCUCAGCAUGAAACUAAACACUAUGAAUGACUUCCAGUCUGCCUCUCGUACCACUGACCUCCUUAAGACGCCACCAGGUGUCCGUUACCUUAUAGGAUCUUUCCUACACACACACACGACAGCAUACACAACACACUACACCAAAAAACUAUUACACACACACACACACACACAGUUUCCUGUAAGCAUUUCUGGUCCGUGUUGUGUGUGUGUGUGUGUGUGUGUGAGGAGAGCUGCAGCCAAAGGACUCUAAAUAUUCGGCUCCCUCUCCACUCGGCUCGGACGGCUGAAACGUUUCUGAAUGAUUUACGGAAAUACAGUUAAAGUAUUAAAAUGUUUUUUUUUUGUAAGACUUGUCACUGUGUGUGUGUGUUUGUGUGUUGUUUGAUUCUACUUGUUUAGUGGUGCAGAAAGGGAGCGAACCCGAAGCCACUGGUUAUUAUUAACUAAGUUAAAUACACUCACCGUGCAUACAUUUACUUUGAUAAUGAAAUAAUGAGAAAGUGCAGACGGCUCCAAGAAAGUAAUGUGAGUUUAAGACUUAAAUAAGAGGCAAAAUGUAUUUUGUUUCAGGAUGCGGCUCUUUUAUUGUAUUUAUAGUCAGCUAAUAUUCAAUUUGGUGUCGUCGUUUUCUUCCACAAUCCAAAUCCCCUUCUCAUCAAUUCAGCCUUUAUUUGAAAGGAAUCCAUGCGACGUGAUUCCUUUCCAACAAUAAACUUUAAUCAGCGUGUGCACGCCGUGAGAAUGUCGAUAUCAAGAGUAUCAAAGACAAACCUCUCCUCAAUCAGGACUUCCCAAACACGUAAAGUCAAAAACAGACGGCAGGAAAGAUUAAAAGCGUCGGGUGUUCCUGAUGUACGAUGUCAGGAAUAGUUCAACUCCUCCACGAGAAGUUCAAAAGCCAAAAGCCACUCACCUUCACGGGGGCCUCUGCUUGACAAAUAGCGCAAUUUCUUCCUUUUUGCCGCCCGUGAGUCACGUCCCUGCCAGCGAGGCCUCAGGUCACACAGGCGGGAUCAUCACAUGUCCGGUUCCUUCUUCGCUGCUGCUUAUCCGUCACCUGAAGCCGGGACGACAUCCGGAGGAGGCAACAACGACAACGCCGACCACGUCUCUCCCCUCGCGGCCGCCACCUUCCUCCCUUCUCGGGUUGUGUUUGGACAUGAAAGGUGCCUAAAACCUCCCCGCAGUCGUCCAUUGAGCCCCAAACGCACCACAAACACCGGUCCCCACCCCCCACGACUACACCCCCACGUCCCCUCACCCUGCCCCCAUUCGGCCCCGAGCGGCCGGGCAGGAGGGGGUCAGGGGCCAGAGUUCAAAUGUAGGUCAACAGGAAAUGGCCGUUUUCCCCGGCAUCCGUCCACACGCCACAACAUCUUUCCUCAGACCCAAUAGAAGAAAGAGAAAAACAAACUUAAAUUCAAUAUUUCCUCGUCUUACGUAUAAAAAAAAGAAGUUUUAUUUUCAUAAUAUGAACAUUAGAGCGGGGGAGAAGGAGCCUCGAUGUGUGCAUCUGCAUUGUGUUGCGUUGUGUACGGUGUUUUGAAGAUAAUACCACUUUACCAAUUUUUGAGGGAAUGACAACACAUGAAAAACAACUUAGUGGUAAAAUUCCCACCAGCUGAAACACGAACGACAACGGCGGCCUUUUGAGAAGGGCAGCUCCGUCACGCCGAUGGGACGGGACGCGAGGCGCUCGCCGUGCUCCUCGUAAUGUCUCCAUCAGUCCCAGACUCCCACCGGGCUUGAAUUUCACCGUUCGGGCCACUGAAGCAAAAUGAAUACACGUGUGUAAAUGUGCACAUAUGCGGCGCAUGAAUAUGUGUGUGCAUAAAUAUGUACAUUUCCAUUUUAAAGAAAAGUGUGUGUUUGAGGGGGAGGAGGGGGAGGGGGGGGGCGGUAGCGUGGUGGUCAUU
ensembl:lncRNA